AAAUUUCGCGGUAUUAAUGAAAAGAGAAGUAGUUAACCCAUUUAUUUGCUAAUCAUGUGAUUAUGACAAUAUAAGUUUGCAAUGAAUAUGUCAUUUUCAUAAUAUUAUAUUUAUAUAAAUUUGCCUUUAUUAUAUCUAAUUAAAAAAUUUUUUAAAUAAUUUUAAUAAAGAAUAGGAAAUAAAAAUUGAUUAUUUAAUAAGAAUAAAAACUUUAUUUGUGCAAAUAACCUUACAUACAGAAAACAUCACAAACAUGAGUAUAAAGAAAACUAAGUAAAUGAAAGAUUUCGUAUAAAUUAUAUAUUUAUAAAACUUUAAUACAAGAAAUUUGUUAAGUAAUAUAACAUUUUCUUAAUAAGAAAUUUUUAUAUUAAAAUUCGGUUUGAUGUUAAAGGUUAAUUAAAAUAUAAAAUAAAUAUUUUUCGUGUGUUAAAAUUACACAAAAUAAUAAUCAAUAAAAAAAAUGUUCAAAUUUUUGAUAACCUUAGGCAUUGGAAUUUAUGCUGGUAUAUAUAUAAGUCAGAACUAUGAGAUACCACGUGUAGAUGAUCCUAAUAAGAUAAUAGAACGAAUAAAAGAAUUUGCAGAUGAAUAUAAAAAAAAAUAAUAACAAUUUAUUAAGUAAUAGUAAUAUAUUUAUGGAAUAUAUUUCAAUGCAUGCAGUUUUAUUAUAUUAUAUUGUUGUACUUUUUAUUGUUAUAUGCAUAUGUAUAUAAACAUGAAAUAUUUUGUGAUUUGAUUUUAAUAAAACAUUUUGUGUAAUGUGUGAA